rnacentral:rRNA from 1 species
AUUGAACGCUGGCGGCAGGCCUAACACAUGCAAGUCGAGCGGAUGAGUGGAGCUUGCUCCAUGAUUCAGCGGCGGACGGGUGAGUAAUGCCUAGGAAUCUGCCUGGUAGUGGGGGACAACGUUUCGAAAGGAACGCUAAUACCGCAUACGUCCUACGGGAGAAAGUGGGGGAUCUUCGGACCUCACGCUAUCAGAUGAGCCUAGGUCGGAUUAGCUAGUUGGUGAGGUAAAGGCACACCAAGGCGACGAUCCGUAACUGGUCUGAGAGGAUGAUCAGUCACACUGGAACUGAGACACGGUCCAGACUCCUACGGGAGGCAGCAGUGGGGAAUAUUGGACAAUGGGCGAAAGCCUGAUCCAGCCAUGCCGCGUGUGUGAAGAAGGUCUUCGGAUUGUAAAGCACUUUAAGUUGGGAGGAAGGGCAGUAAGUUAAUACCUUGCUGUUUUGACGUUACCGACAGAAUAAGCACCGGCUAACUCUGUGCCAGCAGCCGCGGUAACAC